rnacentral:rRNA from 1 species
GAUGAACGCUAGCGGCAGGCUUAACACAUGCAAGUCGAGGGCAGCAAGGGUAGCAAUACCUGUUGGCGACCGGCAAACGGGUGCGGAACACGCACACAACAUACCCUUUUACUGGAGCAUAGCCCGUUGAAAGCGGAUUAACACUCCAUAAUAUAGCAGAGUGGCAUCACUUAGUUAUUAAAAUUAUUGGUAAGAGAUUGGUGUGCGUCCUAUUAGCUAGNGGUAGGUAACGCUACCAAGCGACGAUAGUAGCUGUGUGAGAGCACGACCAGCCACACGGGCACU